CCUACGGGUGGCAGCAGUGAGGAAUAUUGGUCAAUGGGCGCGAGCCUGAACCAGCCAAGUAGCGUGAAGGAUGACUGCCCUACGGGUUGUAAACUUCUGUUAUAAAGGAAUAAAGUGAGGCACGUGUGCCUUUUGUAUGUACUUUAUGAAUAAGGAUCCGCUAACUCCGUGCCAGCAGCCGCGGUAAUACGGAGGAUCCGAGCGUUGUCCGGAUUUAUUGGGUUGAAAGGGAGCGUAGUUGGGUUGUUAAGUCAGUUGUGAAAGUUUGCGGCUCAACCGGAAAAUUGCAAAUGAUACUGGGAGUCUUGAGUACAGUUGAGGUAGGCGGAAUUCGUGGUGUAGCGGUGAAAUGCUUAGAUAUCACGAAGAACUCCGAUUGCGAAGGCAGGUUCCUAAACUGCCACUGACAUUGAGGCUCGAAAGUGUGGGUAGCAAAAAGGAUUAGAUACCCCUGUAGUC
rnacentral:rRNA from 1 species